rnacentral:rRNA from 1 species
AUGGCAACUUGCUUAUCUGACCUAAUUAGAGACUAUUGCUUAGAUUUUAUUGGUAUUCAGGAAACAAUGAAAAAGGAAUUUUCCUCUAAAUUCUUGAGGAAAAUUGAUCCAGGACAGUAUUUUGAUUGGAGGUGGAUCCCUUCAUUAGGCAAAUCUGGUGGGAUUCUUUGUGGUACCAAGUAUGAUACUUUUGAGGUUAGAUCCUGUGAGACAGGUAAAUACAUCAUGAAACUGGAACUAUGGGAUAAGAGGAAAAAAUUGUUAUACUGUAUUCUGGUAGUGUAUGGCUCUGCUCAUGAAGAGUAUAAAAUGGAAUUUUUGACUGAGUUGUCUGACAUGUGU